AGCUGUUUCUGGACAGUUAAGGGAUGAACUGUGCUCCCUUCCCUCCCACUCCCUCUCAGCCCAGCUGACCCCAUGGACACACCCUGAGCCCUCCACCCCAGCCAGGUAAUAAACACUGCAGCCUGCACCUGAUCAGGAACUCAGAUCCAACAUGCAGAAGCUCAGGGAGCAACACUUCACUGACAGGGCUGUUUCAGGCUCCUGAAGGAUCCUCCCUCGAGCAGCAGGACCUCACUGAUUGCAGAGCAGUCAGGCCAUCAGCACCUCUUUGCUUCUCAAUGCAUCUUCUCCAGAGACAGCUAAACAGCUGUCAGGCAUCUACUCCAAACCCUCCCUUUCCCAGUGCACCUGAGCUCUCCUGCUGUGCCCAUCCUGCACGGCUUGCUCAGGUUUUCCUCCUCACUGAAUGGUAUUUGUAAAGCAAGUGAAUGUUUCCAUGGAUGGCAUGGUAAAAUAUCCUACUGGUGAAUGAAUCUCUGUGCCCACUGCUGACCUCCAUGGGACCCGAGAUGAGCAGAAGACAGCAGUGAGGGAGGAAUGACUGCAAGAUAACAUCCUGUAGAACUCACUAAGCUACCAGGCUGGUCUUAAGAGAUUCAAGGCAAGCUCAGUUUAAAAGACAACUUCUGCACAGCCAAACACUGUUCCAAACACGUGGCACCUAAACCUUAUCACCACAUUUGCAACUGAUGAACACCAUCAUGAAACCAUGGACUUACAACAAUCUAAAGCCUCUUCAUGCAAGUCAAACACACUGUGGUGGUUUGGUGCUCCCAAGCACCUCUUGUGCUCAGCAGGCCCAGAACAAAAACCACUCAGUUCCUGGCUGGAAUCAAGGGAAUUUACUUAAUAAAUGCAGGAGGAGCACAAACAGAUAAGGACACACAACCAACUGGACUUUGAUGGAUGCACAUCCUGAAAUUAGGAAAAUGAUGUGGUACAAACAGGAAAAUGUAAUCAAGUUUCCUAUGUUCAAAGUGUUAAUUUUAAAGCUGUUCCAAAAACGUUUUGCAAUGACACUGGAUUAUUUCAUGCUCUCAGACUCAUCUAAGUUUUUUCUGCAAAAGCUCUCACACAAAGACAGUGAAGUCUCAGGAGGAGAGAGUGACUGCCAAAGGGAAGCGCUGUUCCACAUGAAGAGUUUUCCUAUUUCUAACAUCCAUAAAACCUCCAUAUGAAACCUUGGUUCAUAAAAGUUAAUGAGCUUGAUCACAAGUCCUGCCCUGGCUCUGGAGAUUGAUGUGUUUGCAUGACACAACACACCAGGGUGUAGGGAUAGCUGUCCCCAGUCCCAGCACAGAGGAAUCCCCUCACUUCACCUGCAGCAAGCUGUGUCACAUCUAUCGAGUUGUGACUUACAAUCCUCUCUUUUUAUGCAGAAUGCUCAAAAUGUGGGCAAGGAGCUUGUGUGUGCUGCCUUAUAAAUAUGCUUCAACCCUUAUGUGAAAGGGUUCAGUCCAGGAUGAAGAGUUGGUGCUCUGGAACAUCAAGUCUUUGGCUUUUCUGUUGAAACUGCAACCAAGGCCCAUUUGGUACCAGUUAUUUGCUUCCAUAGACACUUGUCCACCUGGUCCCCUCCUGAAAAUCCCAUUUCACACCUGGAAUUACAUGAAUCUAAGCUAGCAAUCUGGGGACUGAAGCCUUGGCACUGCCCCGGUCCUGCCACCACUUCUACCUCAGUUUUCAGCUUUUGUUUAAAAUGUGCUCAGGACAAACAAAGCUGCUUCACACCCACCCUGAGUACCAGAGCCUCUCAGCCCCCAGGUGCUCUGCCAGACUGAAUGCUAAUGAGACAACAUUCAGAUUAAUAAUUAGAUAUGAAACAAAGGUGUUUGUUUUCCCUAGAGAGAAACCAUACUGGAAGGCAGGGGACCACAGAGCAGCUGGAAUGAAGAGAACCAGAGACCAUUUACUGGCUGGUAACGAAUGCUCCUGACCUCUGGGCUCAUUUCUCUACUGAAAUGAGCCAAAAGCCACCCAACAAAGAGUUUCCCCAGGUCAGGCUUAGCCUGUGAUUCCCAGCCCAGGCAUGUCCAGUUUAACAAUCAGACUCUGCAGUCCUGGGCAGAAAAGAACACUGAGCCAGACAAACAAAGGAAAAAAGAAAUUGAGACAGUUAUAAUAUUUUAUCCAUUUGCAUCUCAUCUGUUCCACAGUGGAACACUGCCUUAGCCUGACAUGAGCAGGGUACAAGAAGCUUCUUUUUGGAUGCAGCAGAAAAAGCAGCAUUGGAGUCAAAGGCUCCAGUUGUGUUUGUACAGCUGGCAUUAUCUCCUAACCUUCUUGUGUUUCAGCUCAGAGCAGAGGCAGAGCCUGCCUGCCAGGAGGGGACAGGAAGGAUCACCUUCUCUCCCCCCAGCUGCCUGGAAUGAGGCAGGACAUGCAGAGGAUGCCAGAUCAUCCCAGGCUGAGGCGCAGAUCUUGCUGCAGCAGCAGGACACGAGGAUGCUGUUACUUCAUGGCUCUGUGACUCCACCUGAUGCCAGAGGCAGGGCAGC